UACGUAGGGGGCUAGCGUUAUCCGGAAUUACUGGGCGUAAAGCGUGCGUAGGCGGCCUUUCAAGUUGGGUGUGAAAGCCCGGGGCUCAACCCCGGAAAUGCGCCCAAGACUGUUUGGCUAGAGUCUCGGAGAGGUGAGUGGAACUCCCAGUGUAGAGGUGAAAUUCGUAGAUAUUGGGAAGAACACCAGUGGCGAAGGCGGCUCACUGGACGAGUACUGACGCUGAGGCACGAAAGCGUGGGGAGCAAACAGG
rnacentral:rRNA from 1 species